rnacentral:rRNA from 1 species
UGCAGUCGAGCGGUAGCACAGGUAGAGCUUGCUCUCUGGGUGGCGAGCGGCGGACGGGUGAGUAAUGUCUGGGAAUCUGCCNGAUGGAGGGGGAUAACUAAUGGAAACGUUAGCUAAUACCGCAUACCCUCUUCGGAGGAGAGUGGGGGACCUUCGGGCCUCGCGCCAUCGGAUGUGCCCAUAUGGGAUUAUCUAGUUGGUGGGGUAAUGGCUCACCUAGGCGACGAUCCCUAGCUGGUCUGAGAGGAUGACCAGCCACACUGGAACUGAGACACGGUCCAGACUCCUACGGGAGGCAGCAGUGGGGAAUAUUGCACAAUGGGCGCAAGCCUGAUGCAGCCAUGCCGCGUGUGUGAAGAAGGCCUUCGGGUUGUAAAGCACUUUCAGCGAGGAGGAAGGGUUCUGUGUUAAUAGCACUGUGCAUUGACGUUACUCGCAGAAGAAGCACCGGCUAACUCCGUGCCAGCAGCCG